rnacentral:rRNA from 1 species
GGGAUAGCCGCCCGAAAGGACGGGUAAUACCGGAUACCCCCGGGCGCCGCAUGGCGCCCGGGCUAAAGCCCCGACGGGAGGGGAUGGCUCCGCGGCCCAUCAGGUAGACGGCGGGGUGACGGCCCACCGUGCCGACAACGGGUAGCCGGGUUGAGAGACCGACCGGCCAGAUUGGGACUGAGACACGGCCCAGACUCCUACGGGAGGCAGCAGUGGGGAAUCUUGCGCAAUGGGGGGAACCCUGACGCAGCGACGCCGCGUGCGGGACGGAGGCCUUCGGGUCGUAAACCGCUUUCAGCAGGGAAGAGUCAAGACUGUACCUGCAGAAGAAGCCCCGGCUAACUACGUGCCAGCAGCCGCGGUAAUACGUAGGGGGCGAGCGUUAUCCGGAUUCAUUGGGCGUAAAGCGCGCGUAGGCGGCCCGGCAGGCCGGGGGUCGAAGCGGGGGGCUCAACCCCCCGAAGCCCCCGGAACCUCCGCGGCUUGGGUCCGGUAGGGGAGGGUGGAACACCCGGUGUAGCGGUGGAAUGCGCAGAUAUCGGGUGGAACACCGGUGGCGAAGGCGGCCCUCUGGGCCGAGACCGACGCUGAGGCGCGAAAGCUGGGGGAGCGAACAGGAUUAGAUACCCUGGUAGUCCCAGCCGUAAACGAUGGACGCUAGGUGUGGGGGGACGAUCUCCCCGUGCCGCAG